rnacentral:rRNA from 1 species
UACGUAGGGACCAAGCGUUGUUCGGAUUUACUGGGCGUAAAGGGCGCGUAGGCGGCGCGGUAAGUCACUUGUGAAAUCUCUGAGCUUAACUCAGAACGGCCAAGUGAUACUGCAGUGCUAGAGUGUGGAAGGGCAAUCGGAAUUCUUGGUGUAGCGGUGAAAUGCGUAGAUAUCAUGAGGAAGACCAGUGGCGAAGGCGGGUCGUCUGGACAGUUCCGUGACACUGAGGCACGAAGGCCAGGGGAGGCAAACGGG